rnacentral:rRNA from 1 species
CCAAUAGCGUAUAUUAAAGUUGUUGCAGUUAAAAAGCUCGUAGUUGAAUUUUAGGCCUGACCGGACGGUCCGUCUUUGGCGAGUACUGUUCUGUUGUCGGGUCUAUCCUUCUGGUGAGCCGGUAUGCCCUUUAUUGGGUGUGUCGGUGAACCAGGACCAUUACCUUGAAAAAAUUAGAGUGUUUAAAGCGGGCUUUUGCUUGAAUAGAUUAGCAUGGAAUAAUAGAUUAGGACGUUGGUUCUAUUUUGUUGGUCUAGGACCACCGUAAUGAUUAAUAGGGAUAGUGGGGGGCAUUAGUAUUCAAUUGUCAGAGGUGAAAUUCUUGGAUUUAUUGAAGACUAACUACUGCGAAAGCAUUUGCCAAGGAUGUUUUCAUUAAUCAAGAACGAAAGUUAGGGGAUCGAAGACGAUCAGAUACCGUCGUAGUCUUAACCAUAAACUAUGCCGACUAGGAAUCGGGCGACGUUAUUUUCAUGACUCGCUCGGCGCCUUAUG